rnacentral:rRNA from 1 species
UUCAGACGAUGCGUCAUGCAUAUCAAUAAGCGGAGGAAAAGAAACUAACAAGGAUUCCCUCAGUAACGGCGAGUGAAGCGGGAAGAGCUCAAAUUUGAAAUCUUGAAAGGUCACCUUUCACGAAUUGUAGUUUAAAGAAGUGUUUUCUGUUACGAUCGUAAUAUAAGUUCUUUGGAAUAGGACAUCACAGAGGGUGAGAAUCCCGUCUAUGAUUGCGAUUUGUAGCUUUGUGAUACACUUUCAAAGAGUCGGGAUUGUUUGGGAAUGCAGUCCAAAAUGGGAUGGUAAAUUUCAUCUAAGGCUAAAUAUUGGCGAGAGACCGAUAGCGAACAAGUACCGUGAGGGAAAGAUGAAAAGAACUUUGAAAAGAGAGUUAAACAGUACGUGAAAUUGUCAAGAGGGAAGCGUUUAACACCAGUGUUGUUUUCUGAAAAUCAACCUCUGUUAGCUUUAUGCAUGUUUGUUUAGACCUAAUCAGCUAUCUUGCAUGUUCUAUUGUUUGCAGUGGUGCACUUUUCAGUUUACAGGUCAACAUCAGUUUUUUUUACCGUAAAAAAGUUAAAGAAAGGUAGCUCAUGGCUCCGGUCGUGAGUGUUAUAGUCUUUUUCCGAUGCGGUAGGAGAGACUGAGGUCUGCAGUGUAGGCUAUUUGGCUAGAUACUCAGGUGCUAUGUGAUACCAUUUCAUAAACAACUUGUUGAUUAUGUUUUGUCUAUUGCAUACUCGCUUGUACUAUCAUACCUACGCUUAGGAUGUUGACUGAUAUGUAGUCGUA